rnacentral:tRNA from 1 species
GGUAAGAUGGCUGACAAAAGCGGCAGGUUGUAGCCCUGUGCAUGUGGGUUUGGCCCCACUCUUAUCA